UACGGGGGGGGCAAGCGUUGUUCGGAAUUACUGGGCGUAAAGGGCUCGUAGGUGGCCAACUAAGUCAGACGUGAAAUCCCUCGGCUUAACCGGGGAACUGCGUCUGAUACUGGACGGCUUGAGUUUGGGAGAGGGACGCGGAAUUCCAGGUGUAGCGGUGAAAUGCGUAGAUAUCUGGAGGAACACCGGUGGCGAAGGCGGGUCUCUGGGCCGUAACUGACGCUGAGGAGCGAAAGCAUGGGGAGCGAACAGG
rnacentral:rRNA from 1 species